GUGCUUGCUUCAACAGCACAUAUACUAAAAUUGGAACAAUACAGAGAUUAGCAUGACCCCUGCGCAAAGAUGACAUGCAAUUUGUGAAGCAUUCCAUGUUUUU